rnacentral:rRNA from 1 species
UACAGAGGAGCCAAGCGUUGUCCGGAUUGACUGGGCGUAAAGCGCACGUAGGCGGAUUGCUAAGUCAGGGGUGAAAUCCUGGAGCUCAACUCCAGAACUGCCUUUGAUACUGGCGAUCUUGAGCCCGGGAGAGGUGAGUGGAACUGCGAGUGUAGAGGUGAAAUUCGUAGAUAUUCGCAAGAACACCAGUGGCGAAGGCGGCUCACUGGCCCGGUACUGACGCUGAGGUGCGAAAGCGUGGGGAGCAAACAGG